GCCGGGCAUGGUGCCGCAUGCCUGUAAUCCCAGCUACUCAGGAGGCUGAGGCAGGAGAAUCGCUUGAACCCAGGAGGCGGAGAUUACAGUGAGCCAAGAUUGUGCCACUGCACUCCAGCCUGGGCAACAGAGUGGGACUCCGUCUCAA
rnacentral:SRP_RNA from 1 species